AGUGUUUGUAGUCAUGGUUCUGGUAAUUGUAUAUGAUCUCCAUAUCUUAACUGUUUUUGAAGACGAAAAUGCAAGUUGUUCUUCUUAGAUGCUCUUGCCUUUUUGAUUCAUACAUUGCUAAACUGACCAUUGACAUCUCACCACUUUGAUUCAUAAAUUGCUGAAUUACCCACAUGAACUCGUGCUGUCAUGGUUCAUAAAUUGCUGAAAUUCCCAUUAAGUGGCUUCCACUGUUCCAUAUGAGCAGUGUCUGUUGUGCUUUUAACCAGUCAACUAAGUAGGUACUAUGUUAUUAGUGGCUUGCUUUUAGGCCACAAUAACAUCUAUUUAUUUUUCUCCAAGUUUGUUUAUGUUACUUUUGUCACCUGAAGUCGUAUAUUGAGUUGUAAGGGAAUACUUUCAGAUCACAACUUUUCUUUGUAAUAGUCGUAAUCUAGCCGACCAACCAAUUAUUCAGAAGUAAUGACCCUUUGCAAGAAGUAAUAUUUCUUAUUUGCUGGGCAACCUGGCACUAUUUGCAUCAUGUCAAUGCAUUGAGUAUUAACUGUUUAUUUUGUUAUUUUCUGUGUAGAUUCAAAAGAUAUAUUGAUGCUUAUAUGGGUGUGUGGCAAGUAUACUGCGAUGAUGACGAUGAUGUUCCAGUUAACGAUGAUGACGAUGAUGGGUGUUUUCAGUUGUAGUUAUGAUGGGUGUUUUCAGUUUUACUUAAGUUGUAGGGAUGAUGUUACUGUCAGAUGAUGUUCCUCGGUUAAGUUUUAGUUAAGUUGUAGGCAUGUUGAUGGAUGCUUUCAGUUUAAGUUUCGUUGUUAAGAGAAUAUUUAGAUUAUGCAUCGCAUUUGGAUGCUAUUCCUUAUGUAAUAUCAACAAUUGUAAUCUCACUAUUUUUUCCAAUAUAUGAUUUCUUCCUUUCGUGUGUAUAUUUUUUCUUCUGACUUGAUAUAAAUUCUUAUCACCAUUAUGUGGAGCAUUAAU
rnacentral:lncRNA from 1 species